rnacentral:rRNA from 1 species
UCGGGAAUUUUGGGCAAUGGGCGAAAGCCUGACCCAGCAACGCCGCGUGAGGGAUGAAGUAUUUCGGUAUGUAAACCUCGAAAGAAUGGGAAGAAUAAAUGACGGUACCAUUUAUAAGCUCCGGCUAACUACGUGCCAGCAGCCGCGGUAAUACGUAGGGAGCAAGCGUUGUUCGGAUUUACUGGGCGUAAAGGGCGCGUAGGCGGCGCGGUAAGUCACUUGUGAAAUCUCUGAGCUUAACUCAGAACGGCCAAGUGAUACUGCUGUGCUAGAGUGCGGAAGAGGCAACCGUAAUUCGUGGUGUAGCGGUGAAAUGCGUAGAUAUCAAGAGGAACACCUGAGGCGAAGGCGGGUUGCUGGGCCGACACUGACGCUGAUGCGCGAAAGCCAGGGGAGCAAACG